rnacentral:rRNA from 1 species
ACGUGUUUUGAACCGUAAGGUUCAUUAUUCCAACGCUGUGCGCCUUUGGGCUGCACGCUGAGGGAAAACACCUAUCCACACCUGUGCACACACACGGUUGGAGGGCUUAAUUGCCCGCCGACCGAUAUCACACACGUCAUUAUUCAGUUCUGUAUGUGACCUUUUAUAAACACAACUUUCAGCAACGGAUCUCUUGGCUCUCGCAUCGAUGAAGAACGCAGCGAAAUGCGAUAAGUAAUGUGAAUUGCAGAAUUCAGUGAAUCAUCGAAUCUUUGAACGCACCUUGCGCCACGUGGUAUUCCACGGGGCACGCCUGUUUGAGUGUCACGUUAACCCUCGCACCGUGGAUUGUAAAAAGUCUGCGGGGCGGAUUUGGAGGCUUGCCGUGAGAACGGCUCCUCUCGAAAUGCAUUAGCUGUCUAAAGACUGCGCUGCUGGUGUAAUAAUUUACUUUGCGCCUAUGGAACGGUCUGGCGGUGGCUCAUAAUCGUCCGCAAGGACAACAUUUUUAAGCUUUGACCUCAAAUCAGGUGGGACUACCCGCUGAACUUAAGCAUAUCAAUAAGCGGAGGAAAAGAAACUAACAAGGAUUCCCCUAGUAACGGCGAGUGAAGAGGGAAGAGCUCAAAUUUAAAAUCUGGCGGCCUACGGCCGUCCGAGUUGUAAUUUAGAGAGGCGUUUUCCGCGUCGGACCCCACACAAGUUCCCUGGGAUGGGACGUCAAAGAGGGUGAGAAUCCCGUUUGUGGUGGGGACUACCGAGGCUAUGUGAUGCGCCCUCGAAGAGUCGAGUUGUUUGAGAAUGCAGCUCAAAACGGGUGGUAAAUUCCAUCUAAAGCUAAAUAUUGGCGAGAGACCGAUAGCGAACAAGUACCGUGAGGGAAAGAUGAAAAGAACUUUGGAAAGAGAGUUAAACAGUACGUGAAAUUGCUGAAAGGGAAACGCUUGGAGUCAGUCGCUUCGCCGAGGAUUCAGCCUGGCUUUUGCCUGGUGUACUUCCUCGAUGAGGGGCCAACAUCGACUUCGGGUGCGGGAAAUGGGUCGCAGGAAUGUGCCACCUUUCGGUGGGUUAUAGCCUGCGAUCAGUACUGCGUCUGGGAUCGAGGA